GACGAACGCUGGCGGCGUGCUUAACACAUGCAAGUCGAACGGUAAGGCCCUUCGGGGUACACGAGUGGCGAACGGGUGAGUAACACGUGGGUGAUCUGCCCUGCACUUCGGGAUAAGCCUGGGAAACUGGGUCUAAUACCGGAUAGGACCACUGCCUGCAUGGGUGGUGGUGGAAAGCUUUUGCGGUGUGGGAUGGGCCCGCGGCCUAUCAGCUUGUUGGUGGGGUGAUGGCCUACCAAGGCGACGACGGGUAGCCGGCCUGAGAGGGUGACCGGCCACACUGGGACUGGGUUACGGCCCAGACUCCUACUGGAGGCAGGAGUGGGGAAUAUUGCACAAUGGGCGCAAGCCUGAUGCAGCGACGCCGCGUGAGGGAUGACGGCCGGCGGGUUGUAAACCUCUUUCAGCACCGACGAAGCGCAAGUGACGGUAGGUGCAGAAGAAGGACCGGCCAACUACGUGCCAGCCGCCGCAGUAA
rnacentral:rRNA from 1 species